rnacentral:rRNA from 1 species
GUGCCUACGGGAGGCAGCAGUGGGGGAUAUUGGACAAUGGGGGAAACCCUGAUCCAGCGAUGCCGCGUGAGGGAAGAAGGUUUUCGGAUUGUAAACCUCUGUGGAGGGGGACGAUAAUGACGGUACCCCUUUAGGAAGCCACGGCUAACUAUGUGCCAGCAGCCGCGGUAAUACGUAGGUGGCGAGCGUUGUCCGGAAUUACUGGGUGUAAAGGGAGUGUAGGCGGGGAAGCAAGGCAGAAGGUAAAACUAUGGGCUUAACCCAUAGGCUGCUUUUGAAACUGUUUUUCUUGAGUGAAGG